rnacentral:sRNA from 1 species
CCCCUGGAACUAGCUCGAAACUGCCACUUACAGCCUCUCUGAUGAUACUGCCAAGUAACCGUACCUUACCUUUUGUCAGCUGCCCUGACUCUGAUGUCUCCAUGACUCCAUACUUUUUUUCUAUCUGUCUUUUUGGCAUGGCAAACUGUUUUAAGACAUCCAGGACACGUUCUGUAGGAAUGGUGGGCUCCCUAGACUGCAAUAGAACCACAACCUUUGACACCUCAUCUCUGCUGAAAUGCCCUGCAGUCCCAAGCACAUCUGUCCUCUGUGGCGCUCAGGAUUACCAGCCGCUGUCCACAGAGGAGCCUGACGUGAACGUUUACCAAGUGGACCCCAAUGGUGAAAGUCAGAUGUACCCUGAAAUUGGUGACACCCCAAGGCAGCAGGACAUAGUCUAGAGACAUGACAGUCCUAGUCCUUUUUCCGACCUGGGCCGGUUCACCCCUCCUUAGGCAACCUGGUGGUCCCCCGCUCCCGGGAGGUCACCAUAUUGAUGCCGAACUUAGUGCGGACACCCGAUCGG